rnacentral:rRNA from 1 species
CUCGACACAAACUUCAUCAAGGUUGACCUCGGAUCAGGCGGGGGAUACCCNCNUGAACUUAAGCAUNNNCAAUAAGCGGAGGAAAAGAAACCAACGGGGAUUGCCCUAGUAACGGCGAGUGAAGCGGCAUCAGCCCAAAUUUGAAAUCUGGCGGGCCCAUGGCAGCCCGAGUUGUAAUUUGGAGAGGGUGCUUCGCGAACGGCCCCGCCCCAAGUUCCUUGGAACCGGACGCUACAGAGGGUGAGAGCCCCGUACCCGGGCGGCGGCCCGCCGCGUGUGAAGCCCCUUCGACGAGUCGAGUUGUUUGGGAAUGCAGCUCUAAUCGGGAGGUAAAUUCCUUCUAAGGCUAAAUACCGGCCGGAGACCGAUAGCGCACAAGUAGAGUGAUCGAAAGAUGAAAAGCACUUUGAAAAGAGAGUCAAACAGCACGUGAAAUUGUUGAAAGGGAAGCGCUCGCGACCAGACUCGGCCGUUUUGGAUCAGCCCUUGCAUGCAGCGGCGUACUCCACUGCGGCCGGGCCAGCGACGGUUCGGGCGACCGGACAAAGGCGGUGGGAAUGUGGCUCCCUCCGGGGAGUGUUAUAGCCCGCUGCGGAAUGCGGCCAGCCCGGACCGAGGACCGCGCUUCGGCUAGGACGCUGGCGUAAUGGUCGUGAGCGGC